UUAUGAAAAGAAUGUGGUACAACAUGUGUUUAGUUUUUUUUUUAUUGAUAUUUCAGAGUUUUCAUAUGUGAGGUAAUCUUACUGGGAGUGAAGGCAGUGCAUAUGACCACUUGAUAUGAAAGACACAUCCUGUUUUUAAAGGUGGAUCAUGAGUGAAGCUCUGCAGGUCUGCCAUUAGCUUGAUAACAGUGGUUUAUGUGAAUUGAGUGAAUUCAAUUUAUAAAUAAAUCUUUCACCAAGCAUUCACCUAUUUACGGACAAAACAGAUCCAAAUCUUGUUCAGCCUGAUGCUCAACCUUGUAUGAUGAUGACCACAGCCAGGUGAUGGAGAUCUGUGUUAUUCACAGCCUGCAUCUCAAGAUCAACAUGACAAUAGCAGACCAUUUCUUAUCUUACUCUUAUCUGACUAAAUGUUCAGCAUCAUUGCAACAAAACAAAGAACAUUAGAUGGAGUAUUGGAGUAUUGGAUGAUCCCGUAAAGAAAAUAAUAUGGACUUUUUUGGUGAGAUUCUACAAAGAUUGACACAAUCCUAUUGACUUUUAUUUUUACAGUUAAUAAUGCAUUAUAAACAUCCCAUUCAUUUGUAUUCUAUGUCAUCGAUCUGUUUGUGCUAAAAUGUUUACAUCUGAAUGUAAUGUCAAUAAUAUGUUAAUAUUCAGGAUUUAUUAUCAUUUGCAUGUUUUGAUGUUGCAUAUCAUGAUUUUAUUGAUUUCAUGUAAUUGUUGUCUAUUUAAAAUUAUUUUAAUUGCCAAAUUUUAUUGUUACUUUAUUUAAUAUUGAAGCUGUUAUUUAACAUCCAUAUCUUAUUUGAGUAGUGAUUUGUUAUAUUUGCAUAAUAAUUCAUAUAUUUAUUCUGAUUGUGAUUUUAAGGCAAAUAUUUAUUAUUGUAUGACACCUCAUGUAAUGAAAAAAUGAAAAUAAAAGUAUGUUCUGAUGUCUUGCUGUUCUGUUUUUAAACUGAUAAACCUUAUAAAGUGCUAUAAAUAAGAAAAAACAAAUAAAAAAUAAUCCUUCUGACUGCUGAUAAAUGAAAGGGUUCUUUAUAGCACCACUGAGGUUCUAUUUAGCACUUUUUCAAGGCAAGGUUCUAUAUAGAACCAUCUAAAAAAGGGUUCUAUAUAGUACCAGAAAGGGUGCUGCUAUUGUUACAAGCUGAAGAACCCUUAUUUGGUACUAUAUAGAACCAUUUUUCUUAAGAG